GACGAACGCUGGCGGCGUGCUUAACACAUGCAGGUCGAACGGAAAGGCCCUGCUUGCAGGGUACUCGAGUGGCGAACGGGUGAGUAACACGUGGGUGAUCUGCCCUGCACUUCGGGAUAAGCUUGGGAAACUGGGUCUAAUACCGGAUAGGACCGCACUUUAGUGUGUGUGGUGGAAAGUUUUUUCGGUGUAGGAUGAGCUCGCGGCCUAUCAGCUUGUUGGUGGGGUAAUGGCCUACCAAGGCGGCGACGGGUAGCCGGCCUGAGAGGGUGUACGGCCACAUUGGGACUGAGAUACGGCCCAGACUCCUACGGGAGGCAGCAGUGGGGAAUAUUGCACAAUGGGCGCAAGCCUGAUGCAGCGACGCCGCGUGGGGGAUGAAGGCCUUCGGGUUGUAAACUCCUUUCGCUAGGGACGAAGCUUUGUUGUGACGGUACCUAGAUAAGAAGCACCGGCUAACUACGUG
rnacentral:rRNA from 1 species